GAGUUUGAUCCUGGCUCAGAUUGAACGCUGGCGGCAUGCCUUACACAUGCAAGUCGAACGGCAGCACGGGAGCUUGCUCCUGGUGGCGAGUGGCGAACGGGUGAGUAAUGCAUCGGAACGUAUCCUGGAGUGGGGGAUAACGUAGCGAAAGUUACGCUAAUACCGCAUAUUCUGUGGGCAGGAAAGCGGGGGACCUUCGGGCCUCGCGCUCUUGGAGCGGCCGAUGUCGGAUUAGCUAGUUGGUGAGGUAAAGGCUCACCAAGGCGACGAUCCGUAGCAGGUCUGAGAGGAUGAUCUGCCACACUGGAACUGAGACACGGUCCAGACUCCUACGGGAGGCAGCAGUGGGGAAUUUUGGACAAUGGGGGCAACCCUGAUCCAGCCAUGCCGCGUGAGUGAAGAAGGCCUUCGGUUGGUAAGUACGUAC
rnacentral:rRNA from 1 species